rnacentral:sRNA from 1 species
GCCAGGUGUGGUGGCACACACCUGUAAUCUCAGCAGCUCAGGAGGCUGAGGAAGGAGGAUUGCAAGUUCAAAGCCAGCCUCAGCAAAAGCGAGGCCCUAAGCAACUCAGUGAGACCCUGUCUCUA